UGAGUAUGGGCUGAGGCGAGAAUAA
rnacentral:piRNA from 1 species